rnacentral:rRNA from 1 species
CUACGGGCGGCACCAGUGGGGAAUAUUGCACAAUGGAGGAAACUCUGAUGCAGCAACGCCGCGUGGAGGAUGACACUUUUCGGAGCGUAAACUCCUUUUAUAUAGGAAGAAGAUGACGGUACUAUAUGAAUAAGCGCCGGCUAACUCCGUGCCAGCAGCCGCGGUAAUACGGAGGGCGCAAGCGUUACUCGGAAUCACUGGGCGUAAAGAGCGUGUAGGCGGAUUAAAAAGUCAGAAGUGAAAUCCUAUAGCUUAACUAUAGAACUGCUUCUGAAACUCUUAAUCUAGAAUAUGGGAGGGUAGAUGGAAUUUGUGGUGUAGGGGUAAAAUCCGUAGAGAUCAGAAGGAAUACCGAUUGCGAAGGCGAUCUACUAGAACAUUAUUGACGCUGAGACGCGAAAGCGUGGGGAGCAAACAGGAUUAGAUACCCUAGUAGUC